rnacentral:rRNA from 1 species
AUUGAACGCUGGCGGCAGGCUUAACACAUGCAAGUCGAGCGGGGGAGGUUACUUCGGUAACUGACCUAGCGGCGGACGGGUGAGUAAUGCUUAGGAAUCUGCCUAUUAGUGGGGGACAACAUUCCGAAAGGAAUGCUAAUACCGCAUACGUCCUACGGGAGAAAGCAGGGGAUCUUCGGACCUUGCGCUAAUAGAUGAGCCUAAGUCGGAUUAGCUAGUUGGUGGGGUAAAGGCCUACCAAGGCGACGAUCUGUAGCGGGUCUGAGAGGAUGAUCCGCCACACUGGGACUGAGACACGGCCCAGACUCCUACGGGAGGCAGCAGUGGGGAAUAUUGGACAAUGGGCGCAAGCCUGAUCCAGCCAUGCCGCGUGUGUGAAGAAGGCCUUAUGGUUGUAAAGCACUUUAAGCGAGGAGGAGGCUACUUUAGAUAAUACCUAGAGAUAGUGGACGUUACUCGCAGAAUAAGCACCGGCUAACUCUGUGCCAGCAGCCGCAGUAACAC